UGGCUCAGCGGAUAAGAGCACUGGCUGCUCUUCCAGAGGACCUGGGUUCAAUUCCCAG
rnacentral:tRNA from 1 species